rnacentral:rRNA from 1 species
GGAGGAUGCGAGCGUUAUCCGGAUUUAUUGGGUUUAAAGGGAGCGUAGGCGGACGCUUAAGUCAGUUGUGAAAGUUUGCGGCUCAACCGUAAAAUUGCAGUUGAUACUGGGUGUCUUGAGUGCAACAGAGGUAGGCGGAAUUCGUGGUGUAGCGGUGAAAUGCGUAGAGAUGGGGAGGAACACCAGUGGCGAAGGCGGCCUGCUGGGCUUUAACUGACGCUGAGGCACGAAAGCGUGGGUAGCAAACAGGAUUAGAUACCCUGGUAGUCCACACGGUAAACGAUGAAUACUCGCUGUUUGCGAUAUACGGCAAGCGGCCAAGCGAAAGCGUUAAGUAUUCCACCUGGGGAGU